rnacentral:lncRNA from 1 species
GCACUUGACCUGGACUUGGAGAAAUUCUGAGACAGUUGCAGCAGGUGGAAGAAAUAGCUGGUAUAUGAGAGGAAAACAAAAUAGAAAUAAUCAAGUGCAUUCACUCCAGAUGAGUCAACAUCUGUACAGAAAGGAUAGCGACCAUUCAGCAAGGAUGCUCCUGUUUCCUAGAGUGAAAGCCUGAAAAUGUCAGCAGGACUUAACACAAAGAGGCUGUAGAGGUGAAAACAAGCCAAAGUUUUUAACCAAAUGU